rnacentral:antisense_RNA from 1 species
UAAUCUUCUUCUUUUGAUAACUAAUUUUUUUAUUUAAGCUCCAUUUUUCCUU